AUGACUUUUGCGGCAUUAGUUUCAUUUGUAAUUGUAUUAAUUAGAAACUGCAGCUCUAAUAAUCAUUCACAGAGAUGUUUCUUAAUAGUUUGUUAUUUGGUUUUCUUCACUUUAGAAAAAACUAAGAAGGUGAGGAAAAGGAAAGCAGUGCAUGCGUUCUUCUGGAGACUCCGUAAGACUGUAAAGCACCUCUUCCUCUGCCGUGACUCGACUCGAACACCUGUCGAAGUCCCAUCUGAGAUGAAGUCAGUGGAUGACGACAUCCCUGUGGAGCCGGAGCCGGAGCCGGAGCCGGUCUGUCUGAGCAGGUCUGAGCAGGUCUGUGCAGCUCUCCAGUCCUCCACGUCUGUGCAAGCAGCCGACGCAGAUCCAGACGCUCCAGUGUUGAUGCAUGUCUCAGAUUCAUCCGAUUCAGAGAUCAGUCUGGAUUGUGGAUCUAGAGUGUGUCUCUUUCUGGUGGGAGAGCUUCUAGGAUACGGGAGUUUUGGCAAGGUGUAUGAGGGAACCCACAUAUUUGAUGAUAGAAUUAAGGUCGCCAUGAAGUACAUCCACAAGCACAAAAAUGACCGCCGUCUUCACUUUGUAAGUUAACAAAUCUAAGGAUAAUUUUGGUUGAUUCUGAGUAAUUAUUAUUGUGCUGUAAAUACUUGUAGCUAACUAACAUAAAGCAGAAAUAAAUUAGACAACAAAGAUGUAAGUGCA
ensembl:lncRNA